rnacentral:ncRNA from 1 species
UACGCAGCGCAUGCUUCAGCACGAUAUUGGCAAAGCUAACCCCUUUGAGCCGGGCGGUGCGGAUAUAUUGGGCGGUCAUGACUUCUGUCAUGGAGGCGCGGGUCAUGCGGGCAAUAUAGCCCAUACCAUAAAGCGCAAUGGUCAGCACGGGCAGAAGAAAAUUUUCCAAUGUGGCAUUGU